GGGUAUGGUAUACCUCAGAAUUAGUUAAUAGUGUAGAUCGUCACAAGUAAACGUUUGAGGGGCUUGGUAUACCUCAUAAUUAGUUAAUGGUGUAGAUCAUACAAAUAAACGUUUGAGGGCCUUCACUUUCCCUUUAGUCCUCUGCUAAAAAUAAAAUUUCGAGGAUUCCUUCGUUGAUAGGUCCCUCUUCUCUUCUGGUAGGCGUCCAACCAGUUACGACUAUUUGCUUCAUUCUCUUGUCUUCUUCCUGUGCCACGAACGGAUCACUAUCAUACACGAUCAUAUAUAUAUAUAUAUAUAUAUAUAUA
rnacentral:lncRNA from 1 species